rnacentral:piRNA from 1 species
UGGCAAGAGACGACUCAGACGAGACCA